UGGCGGCUUUAGCUUUUCGGGGCUUCUAAAACGGUUGCGUUAGUCAAGCCCGUAAACUCGAUUUACGCAGCAAAGCACGGCUCCUGAAGCAAUAGGCUGUUCGGCUUUGAUCCCGCCCAGAACCCUUGAGUUUUGUUCUGCAAGGAUAUAUAAUACCGGUUUUAUCUGCCCACCUAAGAAUAAAAGGUAAUGGAGACUGAACAACAGGAGGAGACCUUUACCAACACAGAGACAAAUGGCAAACGUCCUGCAGAAGAUAUGGAAGAAGAGCAGGCCUUCAAAAGAUCUCGGAAUACAGAUGAGAUGGUUGAAUUACGCAUCCUGCUUCAGAGCAAAAAUGCUGGAGCAGUGAUUGGAAAAGGUGGAAAAAAUAUUAAGGCACUUCGUACAGACGUGAGUAUAUAUGAGUUUGAACUAAUUUAACACCAAUUCUUUCAGAGCGCUACGUUGAAAACUUGAUUGCGUGCAUUUCUAGAAAUUGAGGAAUUCAACUCUAGACAUCAGUAGUCUAGUUACAAGCCAUUCGUAAUAAUUGUUAGAGUAGAUAACUUCGUUUUUCAGUUUGUAUUGUAGUUUAAACCCAGCUUGAGUCAUGUGAGAGGAGAGGCUUGUAUUAAACCUCUUUCCUUUCUAAAAGGAAUCCACUAAAUUACACACUUCAAGUGAGUUAACAUCUUAAUUAGAAAUAUUGACAAAGCUUGAAACCCUUAAUUAUACCAUUUCCCAUAUGUGUGAAUCAGUUGUAGUACUGCUGAAACCAUUGCAGGUGGCUGGCUUAAACCAGUGAUAGAGGAAUUCUUUAACUUCCUUUAAAAAAAACAAACAAACAAAACUGUCCAUCUGUUCUUUCUUCAGCAGCUUGCACGUGAAGAACAAAAACAUUAACGUUAAGGUUGCAUGAUUUAGAUAUGAGUAUAGAACAGUAAAGAAACAUUCUGUUAUGUUAAUUGGAAGCAUUUUUAAAUGAUCAUGAUUUAUUUACCUAUUCACAUUUUAUAGUGGGUUGACUCUUGUGAUUAGACACAUGUUCAGCGUUAAUGUUAUGUAUUUAUAAAACUUGGCAACGCUUCUUAAAUUCCAUUUGUUUACACUCCUGUACUUAACAUCAGCUACAAUUCCAGCAAUUUUUCAAGCAAGACUGUGUUCAACACAAUAUUUGGUAAUAUAUCAUUGCACAAUCAGUUCCAACUAAGUUCAU